rnacentral:rRNA from 1 species
GAUCAUGGCUCAGAUUGAACGCUGGCGGCAUGCCUUACACAUGCAAGUCUAACGGUAACAGGUCUUCGGACGCUGACGAGUGGCGAACGGGUGAGUAAUACAUCGGAACGUGCCCAGUCGUGGGGGAGUAACUACUCGAAAGAGUAGCUAAUACCGCAUACGAUCUGAGGAUGAAAGCGGGGGACCGUUCGGGCCGUCGCGCGAUUGGAGCGGCCGAUGGCAGAUUAGGUAGUUGGUGGGAUAAAAG